UCGAGCGGCAGCGCGGGGGCAACCCUGGCGGCGAGCGGCGAACGGGUGAGGAAUACAUCGGAACGUACCCCGGAGUGGGGGAUAACGCCGCGAAAGCGGCGCUAAUACCGCAUAUGCUCUGAGGAGGAAAGUGGGGGACCGCAAGGCCUCACGCUCUGGGAGCGGCCGAUGUCCGAUUAGCUAGUUGGUGGGGUAAUGGCUUACCAAGGCGACGAUCGGUAGCUGGUCUGAGAGGAUGAUCAGCCACACUGGGACUGAGACACGGCCCAGACUCCUACGGGAGGCAGCAGUGGGGAAUUUUGGACAAUGGGGGCAACCCUGAUCCAGCCAUGCCGCGUGCGGGAAGAAGGCCUUCGGGUUGUAAACCGCUUUUAGUCGGGAAGAAAAGGUUACCCCUAAUAAGGGUGACUCUUGACGGUACUGGCGGAAUAAGCACCGGCUAACUACGUGCCAGCAGCCGCGGUAAUACGUAGGGUGCGAGCGUUAAUCGGAAUUACUGGGCGUAAAGCGUGCGCAGGCGGUUCGUUAAGUUCGUUGUGAAAGCCCCGGGCUCAACCUGGGAACUGCAAUGGAAACUGGCGGGCUUGAGUAUGGCAGAGGGGGGUGGAAUUCCGCGUGUAGCAGUGAAAUGCGUAGAGAUGCGGAGGAACACCGAUGGCGAAGGCAGCC
rnacentral:rRNA from 1 species